AACGGCGCCGAUCUAACACCCUCGGCUCCAGGUUCUUGCCGAACCUGGAAGUGCUCCUUUUACUUCCGCGGGGAAGAGGCGGUGACAAAGAGACAGGCUGAAGGUAGACGAAAAUGGAACACAAUGGAGGUUCUAGAAAUGUUACCAAGAAGAAAUCAUUUAUUUUGAAUGGAUGAAAAUAAGGAGAGCAGAAGCAUCACAAAGACUAUAUUUUCUCCACUCCUGUGCUAUUCUCUUGGGCUUCAAAUGAAACUAUAGAUCCUGAAGUGGAUUCCAGGACAGUGUUUCAGGCAACUUAGGGACAGUGUGAAAUAUACUGAAGUCAUAGUGGAAGAAGCUGAAGCUACUGUGCCAAGAUAUAUGAGCUUCCAGUGGUUAGUGUUGACUAUUGAAUGCAGUGACAUCUAUCAUUUUCUCCUUUGUAAGAUACGGUGAGAAAACAGGAGGUGACCAGAAUUUAUGCUUCCUUUUUAAAAUUCAGAGCGAGCAAAGUGCAUCACAGCGAGCAAAAACCAAACCAAGAAGAAAGUAAAUACGUUGUUUUAUUUAAUCCAAGAAAAUGAAGAGAAUAUUUGCUGCAUGGAGUGGCUUAUUGCCAGAGCAGUUGUUGGGGAAACAGCUAUUCAUACAUUAAAAAUGACAUUUACAGAA